GAGCACCAAUUAUGCUAAUAAAUUGGCACGUUAGCACGUUAUUGCAAUAUCCCAUAGUACAUACAUGUUAUUAAAACUUGAACUAAUGCAUUGUGAGUCUUAUAAAUUGCUUACAUACCUCACCGAUUUCCCACUGUCUGGAAAACGCUCGGUUUAGUUCCUGUCUCCGCCUCCCAAAAUGUCUAGUGUAAUCGGAUUGGUCAGAUGACUACUCAACUGUUAUUGGUCAGCUGGGUUCGGCGUGUGUUUGAAAGGUUACGCCCCUGACUUCGCGUGGGUUGACACAGAUUCUGACUGAGAGUCACAGCCUCAGAGGCAACGUAAACAAGCGUUAUAUUUCUCUAUAAACGAUGGUGUCUGUACUGCCUUACCACUUCGAGCUCGAUCCAGAGAGUUCAGAAGGCCGUUACGAUAUAAACGAUCUCCGUCAAUGAAUGCGAUUGGAUUUAACUUUUUUAGGUGUCCUUAGCUCUGCCAGAAUGCUAAACGAAGACGAAAAUGUGUUGCAAAGACAUCCAAAAGGUUUUAAGGAGAAUGCAACAUGUUCCAGGGCCUCUUACCUGCGUGAUUCAUCAUCCAGGUUUUGCACAAAUUGUCUAAAUCCCUACACACAGAACAUUUAUUGUACCGACUAUAAGCCUUUGAGGUGCAGGACUAGAAUACGCUUGGAGCUUCCCGAUCGGAAUGUUGGCUUCCGACGACCCCUGCACUGAAGAUGGCAUGCAAUCACGUCCUCCUUUGAAGGUCUCUCAAACUGUGAUGCCAGGUCCAUUGGAAUCGGGGUUUCCUUCAGCU